UAAAACUCAAAUGAAUUGACGGGGGCCCGCACAAGCGGUGGAGCAUGUGGUUUAAUUCGAUGCAACGCGAAGAACCUUACCUGGUCUUGACAUCCACAGAACUUUCCAGAGAUGGAUUGGUGCCUUCGGGAACUGUGAGACAGGUGCUGCAUGGCUGUCGUCAGCUCGUGUUGUGAAAUGUUGGGUUAAGUCCCGCAACGAGCGCAACCCUUAUCCUUUG
rnacentral:rRNA from 1 species